AAUCAAGUUGUAGAAACAUCUCAAGGAUGGUCAAUGGAAACAGGAUGCACCUGAGCUCAAUUUUGAGUCUCAUAGCAAAGGGUCUGAAUAGUUAAGUAAAGUAUCAGUUUUUUAUUUUUAAUAAAUGUGAAAAAAUGUCUAAAAACCCGUUUUCACUUCGUCAUUAUGGGGUUGUUGUCUGUUGAUUGAAGAGGGAAAACAUGUAUUUAAUACAUUUUGGAAUAAGGCUGUAACGUAACACAAAGUGGAAGAAGUCAAGGAGUCUGAAUACUUUCCAAAUAGUCUGCAUAUCUUGGGGGUGAUAUACUGAUACAAAGGCCUGUUUCCUUGUUUCCUGUCAGUCGUUUGUGGGCAAGAGAAGAACCUCUGUCGUGAAGACCACAGUCAAGAUUGUUAUGGAUGACAACUGCUCCCAGGCUCUUGUUCCCGAGAGUCAGAUGUCCCCCGACGCUGACGUGGAGAGAGAGAGGGACAGUGUCCCCUGUCUGCUACCCCCUCGCCCCUCUGGACCCUUACAGGUGGCUGAUAACCACUGGGAAGUAACUAGCUAGUUAUCUGAGUUAGCAGGAAAUCAUUGCUGGUGUGGAGUAUUGAAUGCCAUGUAAAGCUUGGCACAGUGUACUACUUACUGUAAGUGAACAAAGACUGCAGAACACCAGUUAGUACAUACCAUUGGUGGCUUGUGUGAUAUUUUAACU
rnacentral:lncRNA from 13 species